rnacentral:rRNA from 1 species
UACAGAGGCCUCGAGCGUUAGGCGGAAUCACUGGGCUUAAAGCGUGUGUAGGCGGACUUCUAAGUACCUUGUGAAAUCCCACGGCUUACCCGUGGAACGGCUGGGUAUACUGGGAGUCUUGAGCCACUUAGGGGCUACCGGAACAAAUGGUGGAGCGGUGAAAUGCGUAGAUAUCAUUUGGAACGCCAAUGGUGAAAACAGGUAGGUGGGAGUGUGCUGACGCUGAGACACGAAAGCCAGGGGAGCGAACGGG